CAGGGAUAUCAUAGCACCCCAGUGGUGUAGGCACAGCAUAAACCCCAUAGGCCUUGUCCUCUCUCUGCUACAUCAAAAAGUUAGCGGGCCGGAGGGAUGGUUCUGACCACUGCUUGGGUCACGCUGAGCCACCUGUACCCAGUGUGUGGGGAGGUACUUGGUCAGCUGCGAGGAAUCUGCCUUUGAUUGCGUGUGUUCCAGAGUUACAGCAGUGAAACCUCAGCCCAUUUUGACCUGCACGACCAUAGGGUGGCUGGGUGCGCGCAGCUGUGCCUGCUCCUGGGGUAGGUGAAGAAAUGACCGUUUCCUUACCGAAAUCUGCCGCUUCUGAGAGUGACCUCCCUGGAGCAAACAGCGCUGGAGUCAGCUGAUCGACCCUUGAAGCUCUUGUCAUGGAGGUUUUUGUAGCAUGCUUGGCCCAUUUACCUUGCAGUACCUUAUACUGGCACAAAACCUGCCCCUUAUGCUGGCACACAUGCACGCCGGCCAAACGGAGAAAAAAAAAUAAAGAUAACAAGGGUUUAA